rnacentral:rRNA from 1 species
GACGAACGCUGGCGGCGUGCUUAACACAUGCAAGUCGAACGGAAAGGCCCUGCUUGCAUGGUACUCGAGUGGCUAACGGGUGAGUAACACGUGGGUGAUCUGCCCUGCACUUCGGGAUAAGCCUGUGAUACUGGGUCUAAUACCGGAUAGGAGCCAUUUUUAGUGUGAUGGUUGGAAAGUUUUUUCGGUGUAGGAUGAGCUCGCGGCCUAUCAGCUUGUUGGUGGGGUAAUGGGCUACCAAGGCGGCGACGGGUAGCCGGCCUGAGAGGGUGGACGGCCACAUUGGGACUGAGAUACGGCCCAGACUCCUACGGGAGGCAGCAGUGGGGAAUAUUGCACAAGGGGCGCAAGCCUGAUGCAGCGACGCCGGGGGGGGGAUGACGGCCUUCGGGUUGUAAACUCCUUUCGCUAGGGACGAAGCUUUUUGUGACGGUACCUAGAUAAGAAGCACCGGCUAACUACGUG